GCCUUCGUGGUGUAAAGGUCAGCACACUCGACGCGGAUUCGGCAGAUCCGUGGUUCGAGUCCCGGCUAGGGCU
rnacentral:tRNA from 1 species